rnacentral:rRNA from 1 species
UCUUCCACAAUGGGCGAAAGCCUGAUGCAGCGACGCCGCGUGGGGGAUGAAGGCCUUCGGGUUGUAAACUCCUUUCAACCAUGACGAAGCAUUAUGUGACGGUAGUGGUAGAAGAAGCACCGGCUAACUACGUGCCAGCAGCCGCGGUAAUACGUAGGGUGCGAGCGUUGUCCGGAAUUACUGGGCGUAAAGAGCUCGUAGGUGGUUUGUCGCGUCGUCUGUGAAAUUCCGGGGCUUAACUCCGGGCGUGCAGGCGAUACGGGCAUAACUUGAGUGCUGUAGGGGAGACUGGAAUUCCUGGUGUAGCGGUGAAAUGCGCAGAUAUCAGGAGGAACACCAAUGGCGAAGGCAGGUCUCUGGGCAGUAACUGACGCUGAGGAGCGAAAGCAUGGGUAGCGAACAGGA